GCAGUCGCCGCGGUAAUACGGAGGGGGCUAGCGUUGUUCGGAAUUACUGGGCGUAAAGCGCACGUAGGCGGCUUGGUAAGUUAGAGGUGAAAGCCUGGAGCUCAACUCCAGAAUUGCCUUUAAGACUGCCGAGCUAGCAGGUGAGAGAGGUAAGUAGAAUUCCGAGUGUAGAGGUGAAAUUCGUAGAUAUUCGGAAGAACACCAGUGGCGAAGGCGGCUUACUGGCUCAUACUGGACGCUGAGGUGCGAAAGCGUGGGGAGCAAACAGGAUUAGAUACCCCAGUAGUCCCUGUCUCUUAUAC
rnacentral:rRNA from 1 species